GUAGAGCACUGUUUCGGCUAGGGGGUCAUCCCGACUUACCAAACCGAUGCAAACUCCGAAUACCGAAGAAUGUUAUCACGGGAGACACACGGCGGGUGCUAACGUCCGUCGUGAAGAGGGAAACAACCCAGACCGCCAGCUAAGGUCCCAAAGUCAUGGUUAAGUGGGAAACGAUGUGGGAAGGCACAGACAGCCAGGAUGUUGGCUUAGAAGCAGCCAUCAUUUAAAGAAAGCGUAAUAGCUCACUGGUCG
rnacentral:rRNA from 1 species